rnacentral:lncRNA from 1 species
GAACUGAAAUUAGUCUUCCAUCUCCAAUAUUAAGAAAUCUUUCGCCUUCUUCAAAUCUCCUACUGACUUGCAGACUCUACAAUGAAUUAUAAAUAUUAAAAAAGCUUCCGAUAUCUAAUACCCAGAUAGUAAAAUCAUAAAUUAAAAAAUUAUAAGGUAUUAUCAUAUAAUUACCUUGUCCAGCAAUAACUUGCUUCUCUUUCGGUCUGUUCGGAUCUAGGGAGAUAAUGUAUUGAGAAUAAUUUUUUUUUUAAUGCUCCUGCUUCUUGCUAUAGAAGCAUUCGUCUGACUCUGGUCAGACUUAGAUUUCUUGGUCUGACUGGAUUUGGGUUUCCC